AGUUGUACGUUGAAGCUUUCCCAACCCUAGUAUGCAAGUACCUCUGCCUCUCCAGCAACCGCUUUCUUCUCCGCGAACGUCUCCCUCACCGGUUCCGUAAUUCUAGCUUCGAAAUCACUCAUCAAAUCUAAAUCUUCCCAUAAUUCUUCAAAUCAAAAUCGAACCAGAAUCCCAAAUCAAACCAAAAUCUCAAUUAUUCUGUAAUUCUUCAAAUCGCUCAUAAAAUCAAUCCCAAAUCGAACCAGAAUCCCAAUCUUUCCUCAAACCCCAAAUAUAGCCACCUUAAACCCCAAUCUCACGGACUGCUCAAACCCUAUAGCUUCUUGGUUUUGGCUCAACCGUUGAUGCUAUAUGAUGAGUAGAAGCGGACCGUGAUUCCCCACUCACAACUGUGAAAUUCAAAGAAAAAUUAAUCGAUUCGAAAGCCUCGUUUUCGAUAGUAUUCGGUGUUGCUGCGUUCUUACUUCUUUGGUGUGUUCAGUAAACCAAGCAUGAUAAAGAAGGAUUGGGUGGAGUUGCCUCCACAUAGUCAAGGUUACAAGGAUGGUGUCAAUUACUUUUUGGAUAUUGCAUUCACCAAAGGAAAGGUUGAAGAAGAAGAGAUUUUGUGUCCUUGUGCUGUGUGUUGCAAUGAUAGUUGGGAAGUAAGAGAUGUAGUGUAUGACCAUUUAUGUAGCAAAGGAUUUGUAAAAGGAUACACUGAAUGGAUUUAUGUAUUUGCUACUAUCUUG